GGAAAAAAAAGUGUCUACCACAGGAUAAUUUGAUCUUGUAGUAGAUUUUCUUAUUGCAAACUCCUCAUUGAAUAUUACUUUUGUAAAGAUAGGCCUUGUAGAGAACAAUUAAAGCAGAAGAACAAGGGUAAUAUUAGUAAAGUUCAAACUACUGAAAUGACAAAAAACCAAUAAUAGUUUACUUUAGUUUCAUAAUACUACAAAUUUCAAUUUGUUUUGUCAGUGGAGGUUCUUCAGUAAUGUUAAACAAACGCAAAAACCCAAAAUUAAAGAAUUACUUUCGAGGGCAUUAAUGAAAUAGUAAUAUUAGCAGCAAGAAAAAAUAUUUCUAUGAAAACUCCCAAACAUAUAAAAUCAAUGUUAAAAAUAAUGUGAGCUAAGAGAAGAGCACAAAAUACCUGCUACCAAUUGACAACAGAAUAAAAAAAACCCAAUGAUGGAUAUAGUUUACACCUCGCAGAAUAUCAAUAAAAAAUGUGAAAUUGAAAUAAAUCUAACUUAGACAAAAAUUAAAAGGAACAUAUUGACCAUACAUUCAAUAAUUUUAAAUUUCAAAUAAAGCAAAAAGAAAAUUUCAAACUAAAACUAAAACCCCUAAGAAAAGUACACAUGAGUUUGAAAUUUCAAAAUGAAAGUUUUUAGAAAAUACAGUGCUACAAUUUUUGUUUUAAGAAAGUAAAUAAAAAAAUUAAACAUAAUUAAGUAACUUAUUUGCUAAAGAAAAAGUAAAUUCAUAACUCUUAACAGUAGAGAACGAAAAAAAAUAAAUCCUAAAGCCAUAUAUCAUUUAAACAUUGCAAAAAAUUGAUCAAAGAACGUAAAAUUGAAUCGGUAAAAUUGACUUCUAUAAAAAUGAAAAAGAACAUAUCGACCAUAGAUUGAAGAAUUUUAAAAAUAAAAGAAGACAAAAAAAAUAAAUAAAUAAAUAACACACAAACUUCACUAAAUUGAUCAUGCCCAAACUCCAAGUUGUAUUUACCAGAGCUUUCAGUCAUUGAAUUGGUUCGAGGUAGCUGACAUGCUAGAUUUACCAAAAAAUUUGACAACUCGUGACCAAACUUCAAAUUUCUAAAAGCACAGUGUCUUCCUGGAUGCACAAAAUCUACUAAAUUUAAAAUACAAAUCGUCAAAACUCCUUGACUUGAAACUUCAAUUUUUCUUUAAAAGCUCAAUUUUCUUUCUUAUAUCAAUUGAAUUAUAGAUAUUAAUUCCAAAACCAAAUCAAUUUUUCAAAUCUGCUUUGUUCUAAAAACCCAACCCAACACGAGGCCGAAAGAACAUAUUGACCAUAGAUUCAAGAAUUUUAAAUUUGAAAAAAAAAAAAAACACCGCACAAACUUAAAACCCUAAAAGAACAACAUAUAACUUCCAAACUUUCCAACCCAAAAAUUUAACAAGGUGCAGUGCUAUGAUUUGUGUUCAAAGAGAAGUGAAAAAAGUAUAAAAACUUUAGAAAAUGAACAAGAUAACUAUUUUCAUAGAAAAUCUAAGAAAAAAUUAUAGAAGAAAUUUAGAUUUUAUAUAGAAAAACUGAAGUAAACUUACCUUUUAACCACACCCAUAAACUUCACAACACGAAACCUGAAGAAAUUAAAAAGAACCGACUAGAGACAGAGUAACGAACAAAAAACACAAAUUACAAACAAUAGGUUGCAAAAACUAUCUGAAAUGCAAAAAAUAGAAUGAAAUGGAGAAAUCAAACGAAAAUCACAAACAAAUUUGCCUUUGAUACCACGUUAAUCUGCAAAUCUAUGGACGGAAGAGAAGAGCACGAAAAGACGAUUUUCUAGGGUUUCUUUUUUGUUUGAGAAUGGAGAAUGAAUGAAAAUGACGAAAAGAUAGAGAUAGUAAUUACACAGAUAGAUACAUUGUGCACUUGUUUGAUAUCC
rnacentral:lncRNA from 1 species